CAGAGGGGGAAGAAGUGAGCGUUUUCUUUGACUUCUUUUCUCCUUUUCCUGGCAGGGGUUUUGUUUUUAGUUUGAAUUCGUAUGUGAGACCUGGCACCACAGUCUGCAGGACUAUGAAUUCCUGAGAACUUAAACGGAACUGUUCAUGAGGAAUAGUGUGAGGGUGAGGGCCCAGCCCUGGCUCACCGAGUCCUCAGGGCUCAGCUCCACAGCUGCCUGAGGAAUUUGCUGUCAAGGGCAAUCUUCAGCAAUCCGGAUCACAGCUGGGCUUUGGGUGGCAACCUGAGGAUGAGGUCAGACUUGAGCAUCACAACCGAAAGUCACAUGCUGAUGACAGGCUCCAAAUCCUCCCAGCCCAGGGCCUGGUGGCUUCCAGACGUUGACUCAGGACAGGAGCCGCUUGUCUGCCGUAAGUGAAUGCCACGGCCAGAGAGGGUGGACCAGGGGGACACCUCUGAUAGGGAGAGUUAAGGAGCAGUGAGCCCCCUUCCACCUCCGCUGAGCAGAAAGGAACUCCUGGAAAUGCCUUCGGGACAGACAGCUGCUGACCUCUUCCUGGAAGCCCUGGGCCUCAGAAGGUUGCUGGUUCCUGCCUAUUUGCUCCCAAGGCAGAUUCGUGAUCCGAAAGGACGGAAGAAGUUUUAAAGACGCCUUGAAUCCUCCUCCACAAUACCCGCUCCACUAUUUGUUAGCACAGAUAUGAUGCUGCUCAUGGAUUGUUUUCACUCCUAAAGACAGUGGUGCAAGGCAAGGUGACCUGGAGCCAGACCAUCCUGAGUGCCCACCCAGCUUCCCAGCAGCCUGUUGGAAUUUGGAAGGACAUUUGCCUCUGUUUAUAAAGCCUGGCUUUUUGCUGAAAGCCAGGUCUCAAAAAUGUUGUUUUAUUAAUAGAAGCUAUACCCUGAACAUUUGGCUCUUUUUCGUCCCAUUUCCCCUUUCACAAUCUUAACUACUCCCAAGACAAUGGAUACCUCUGUCUGUAUCAAGGGCAGAUUGUCGAAAAGAAAGUCAACAGGAAAUAAACAUUAUUAUUUCAAAAAUAUUAUCCUCAUCCAUUUAAAAUUAAGGGGCUAGGAGAAAAGGAUAUGAAGAUUUAAUGUUGAAUGGGUUAGGAAUUUCAGUUUGGGAUGAAGAGAAAGUUCUGGAGAUAGAUGGUGGUGAUGGUGGCACGACAAUGCAAAUGAACUUCAUGCUGCUCUCAAAAAUUGUGAAAAUGGUCAAGUUUAUAUUAUGUCUAUUUUACUGUAAUAAAAAAAUUUUUGGUUUUCAGUGGGCAGGUGAAUAAGGGAACCCUCUUGCCACCUCUUGGCAAGAGCAAGGAAGGAGGUUGGAAUAUCAGCAGUGUGAGCUCUUCCAAGGGCAGUGGUGACAGCCUGGGAGACUGGUCAGCGUAGCAAGGGCAGGUGCAGGUCCCUGGUCCUAGAAUGUGAGUGUGGCAAGCCAGCCUUAACUUCUGUCUGCCUAGGAGGCAUCAUAGGAGGUGAGCCUUAGUGAGCAGGGGUAAGCUCUGUGUGUGUGCAGCAGCAGAUUAUCUGUCUGCUCAUGCAGACUUUGUAGAUUGCUCAGAGUUGCCUAGAGGGAGGGCCCGUGGGGCCUGAAUUUCAACGUGCACUCAACUCAUCAAGCCAUGGGCUCUCUCGGGGCCAUGUCUGCCUACCCCUUGCAAAGCCUCCGGAUGGGUGAUCCUGGGCGCUAAGCCCUGACCAUUCUAAAAUACUAUUUGGCACAGCCUGGAUGAAGUUUGUACAUAGAGUGUGCAGAUCCCUCAAGUUCCCUGAACACUCCACUAUGCAAAUCACGCAGAGAAAUCAGCCAGGAGGAAGACGAGGUGUGGGGGAAGAAGAGCACCAGCCAGGAAGCAUCACCCCAAAGCUGAGUACAUGAGGCUGAUGAAGAGAAUGUCCACACCAUUAAAGAGACUCUAGCAUUCCUCUCCUAUGUUUCUCAACCUUUGUCCUUGUUAAUGCCUGAAUAAAACUGAACAUGAGAGUGUGGCCAUGGGAAUUACAGUACAGGCCUAAGGAGAGGUUGUAAACUUGAGUUUUCCAGGCUUUAUCAACACUUGACCAUUUCCUCCCAUGUUCUGGGAACUCAUUAGCCCCUUUCUGUUUCACCCAUGCAGUAACCCUCUUCUUGGGCUUCAUUACUCCAGUAUGCUUUCCAGAACUAUCAUAUUCCUUUAAUCUUCUUGAAAUAAAUUUGACUUGGAUCACACUCCCCCAAA